AUGUCGCUCCCAGACAUCUGAACGUGAAAGGUGCGGCCCCGGGACCCAGCCACGGCAAAGUGUGUGCAGAAACCUGCCUUUAUGCUGAACAUGGAGGCACGUUUUUUAAGAGGUCCAGGGUUCACCAACAUGUUGACUGGGUCCGCAUUCAGCCAGCAGCAGAGGGAAGGGCAGCCAUGCCCGUCAUUUGAGACAAUGCCUGGCAGUUGCCUACAUCCUUUCUGCUCAUCCCGUUGGCCUGAGCUUGGUCAUUUGGUCACAUGCAGUUGCUGGAGGGUACCCGGGACUUGCCACCUAACCUGUGGGGCCCAUGCAAAAUGAAAAUGCAGGGCCCUUGCUCAAAAAGCAGGAGUAUAAGUGCUGCUAAAUAGGGCUAAAGGUCCUAAAAUACACAGUUUUUUCCUUUCUUCUAUGAUCUUU